rnacentral:rRNA from 1 species
ACGUAGGGUGCAAGCGUUGUCCGGAAUUACUGGGUGUAAAGGGAGCGCAGGCGGACCGGCAAGUUGGAAGUGAAAACUAUGGGCUCAACCCAUAAAUUGCUUUCAAAACUGCUGGCCUUGAGUGGUGCAGAGGUAGGUGGAAUUCCCGGUGUAGCGGUGGAAUGCGUAGAUAUCGGGAGGAACACCAGUGGCGAAGGCGACCUACUGGGCACCAACUGACGCUGAGGCUCGAAAGCAUGGGUAGCAAACAG